rnacentral:tRNA from 1 species
GCGUCGGUGGCAGAGUGGUCAAUUGCAAUGGGCUGUAAACCCAUCGCCGAAAGGCUCCGCAGGUUCGAAUCCUGCCCGGCGCA